rnacentral:rRNA from 1 species
GUCAAGUCAUCAUGCCCCUUAUGUCUUGGGCUGCACACGUGCUACAAUGGCCGGUACAAUGAGCUGCGAUACCGUGAGGUGGAGCGAAUCUCAAAAAGCCGGUCUCAGUUCGGAUUGGGGUCUGCAACUCGACCCCAUGAAGUCGGAGUCGCUAGUAAUCGCAGAUCAGCAUUGCUGCGGUGAAUACGUUCCCGGGCCUU